GCGAGAGUGGCGGAACUGGCAGACGCGCACGUUUGAGGGGCGUGUGGGAAACCGUACGGGUUCAAGUCCCGUCUCUCGCACCA
rnacentral:tRNA from 1 species